AACGUCGCUCAGUGCAAGGUUCUGAAAGAACAGGUCAAGACACUUAUGAGUUGAUCACACACAAAUUUUGACAAAUAGAUGCUUUUAUUGAACAGACUCAUCACAGAUUGUUUGAAAUGUCAACUCGUUGUAGAUUUCGAUUGGGUGUUGCUUGGGCGUGCUGCCACCCAUGUGAUCAGAGUCUUUCGUAUCUUUUACGUUUCCUUGUUGCCAUUUUUAGUGAAGAAUAGGUCCUAGAAUACGAAAUUAACAUCAAAGAGUCACGACUUAUAUCUAUCUUAGCUUUCAACAUUGAAUAAAUGAACUAAAGUACCUACUCAUAUGAAAAUAUUCUUCUAACAUCACCCCCAUAAACACAAAUAUAGAAAGUGUGGUAUCGUUCGAAAGGUAAUUGAACAGCAUUUAAUUUAAACUGUAUAAUACGACCUACAUGUUGAAACUGUUGUGCAGGAAAAACGCUUUACCCAUUAAAAUAUGGUUUUUCAAAAUUAUUUCAAAAAGUUGCCGUCCACUUUCCGACUACUUGCCCUGAUUUAUGAUCAGUGGACAUCGACUAACAUUAAUCUACAAUAAAAUUUGAGUUACAUUACAAUUUUAAUUAGCCAUCGUUCAAGCACACCGUGGUGCCCAAGUUGAAGAAG